CGAAGAACCUUACCAGGUCUUGACAUCCUCUGACACUCCUAGAGAUAGGACGUUCCCCUUCGGGGGACAGAGUGACAGGUGGUGCAUGGUUGUCGUCAGCUCGUGUCGUGAGAUGUUGGGUUAAGUCCCGCAACGAGCGCAACCCUUGAUCUUAGUUGCCAGCAUUCAGUUGGGCACUCUAAGGUGACUGCCGGUGACAAACCGGAGGAAGGUGGGGAUGACGUCAAAUCAUCAUGCCCCUUAUGACCUGGGCUACACACGUGCUACAAUGGAUGGUACAAAGGGCUGCAAAACCGCGAGGUCGAGCCAAUCCCAUAAAACCAUUCUCAGUUCGGAUUGUAGGCUGCAACUCGCCUACAUGAAGCUGGAAUCGCUAGUAAUCGUGGAUCAGCAUGCCACGGUGAAUACGUUCCCGGGUCUUGUACACACCGCCCGUCACACCACGAAAGUUUGUAACACCCAAAGUCGGUGGGGUAACCGUAAGGAGCCAGCCGCCUAAGGUGGGACAGAUGAUUGGGGUG
rnacentral:rRNA from 1 species